UCUUCUUCUCUCAUUCUCAUUCCACUUUUCAAUUUCUCCACUUCCUUUCAGUCAUGGGUACCUCUGAUUUUGUUCAAAUUCUUUCAGUUUCUGUUCAGAUUUUGAUUUUCUGUGAGGCUAAUCUUGAAAUUUGGUAUGAUUUCUUAAGUAUCUCUCUAGAUUCCAUGCACAAGAGAUGCGCCACUAGAGGCAAGAAGAAGGCGUGGAGAAAGAAUCGAAAAUCUUUAUUUACGUUUGAGAAAUAUUCCCUCCUUUGUCUCUCUCUUCUACCGAAACAUUAUGAUAACCACUCAAGCAACUUUCGCUGGUGAUGAUACUAGUUUCAGGGACAUACAAAUUUGGGCAAUAUAAUGAGAGGAAUUGGAUGAUAUGGCAGCUCAUG